AUGGCCGUACCAUGCUGAAUAUACCGGUUCUCGUUAGAUCACCGAAGUCAAGAAUCAUUGGGCGCGGUCAGUACUUGGGUGGGUGACCACCUGGGAACACCGCGUGCCGUU
rnacentral:rRNA from 1 species